rnacentral:tRNA from 1 species
GCCUCCGUGGCGCAACUGGUUAGCGCGUUCGGCUGUUAACCGAAAGGUUGGUGGUUCGAAGACCAAUGGGAGCU